rnacentral:rRNA from 1 species
CGAAAGCCUGACGGAGCAAGACCGCGUGAGGGAGGAAGGCUCUUGGGUUGUAAACCUCUUUUCUCAGGGAAGAAAAAAAUGACGGUACCUGAGGAAUAAGCAUCGGCUAACUCCGUGCCAGCAGCCGCGGUAAUACGGAGGAUGCAAGCGUUAUCCGGAAUGAUUGGGCGUAAAGCGUCCGCAGGUGGCUGUGUAAGUCUGCUGUUAAAGAGUGAGGCUCAACCUCAUAAGAGCAGUGGAAACUACAUAGCUAGAGUACGUUCGGGGCAGAGGGAAUUCCUGGUGUAGCGGUGAAAUGCGUAGAGAUCAGGAAGAACACCGGUGGCGAAAGCGCUCUGCUAGGCCGUAACUGACACUGAGGGACGAAAGCUAGGGGAGCG